CGGGCCGGGCCGUCGGGCCGCGUUAGCCUGGCAGGCGCGACCGGCGGCCGCGGGGAAGCCCGGAGCGGACCGGAGCCGCCGAGAGCCCGCUGUGCCGCGGGGGCGGCCGCGCCGAGGCGCCGGGCAGGCGCUCAGCCCCGCCGGGCACUGCGGCAGCCCCGGCCCCGCUCGCGAGCUGCCUGCGCCGACGGCUGCGCGGCCGGGCGCGCAGGGGAGCUGCGUGCGAACGGCGGGAGGGAGCCGCCCGCGUCCCCGCUGUGCGCCCGCGCUGCCGCAUCGUUUCUGCGCAUUUACUCGAGAAACCUCAAUAAAGCUCGAUUUGCAGGAAUAAACCCUCCGAAGCCGAGCGGUCGCGGCCUCCUCAGGCCGGGCAGCUGCUCGUUUGGGACCAGCGUCGCCGCCGCCGCCGCUACCCGAGCGCUCGCAGGGCCCCCGGGAGCCAGCGCGGCCUCACGGCGCCGGGCCCCACCGGCACCGGGGCUGCCCCGCGCCCCCCGGGCCUCGCCGCCGCCAGCACCGGCUCCCGGGGGGCCCCGCGGGCGGAGACCCGGGAGCGGCUCGGGGACGCGCGACGCGGCCGCCCCGGCGGUGGCCCCGCAGCCCCCGGGCUGCCCCGGCCCCCCCGCUCGCCGCCCCCGGCUCGCCCUCGCUAAGGGCCGCUGGCGAAAGUUUGUUCCCGCUGCCGGAGUUGCAGCGAAGUCGACGCGACUCCCCUUUUACGCGGUCACAACCGACGCGCUCGCCGUUUGCGUGCUCCGUAAAGCGAGGAAUGAAAAAUAAAGACAGAGCUUUGGAGAGGAAAGGGAGAGGGCUUUGCGUGCAAAACGGUAACACUUUCUUGCUUAAGAUAUUAAUAGUAACAAGAAAAUACCGUCAGUAGGUAAUUGUGUUAUAAUAUCUGCUUGGAUUCUAUCCUCUGUGGCUCUCCUUAACUACCUUUGCAAAUAGGAAAUACCAUGGAACGAGAAAAUAGCAGAAACUGUACAAACGAAUAAUGCUGUGAACCUUGCCGGUGAGCGCUCCCUGGGAGAGCAGAGCGAGUGCUCCUCUCUGUUUUGUAUUAGUGAUUAUUGCACUGUCAUUAAAGAAUGCAGGAGUGGCAGCGUUUGCUUCAGGACCCCAAGCACACGCAGUACAGCAAGCGGGAGGCAGAAGGCUGAAGUGUGCACGCAGCACAAUAACGCAAAACAGCGUUAAAGCGAAAACCGAGCGCAUCCCCAGAGCACGAGGAGAACCUGCGCGGGGAGGACUCGUUCCCUGCUGCAAAGCGCAGCUCCUGAGCGGCUCAGGACUCCUCCUGCCUCCCGGUCCCGUUUCGCUCGCAGGCCGCCGUUUGCGGGCGCCGUGACACGCACGGCUUGCCUGGCAAUUUGUCAUGACGAGCGGUUGUGUGAUGUAAUUCCGCAACAUGACAUGUUCUCACCUGGUGCCAGCUGAUCGCUCUAAAGAUGCGCACGAAGCUGCAGGCUCUUCUGGCAGCAUUUUCUUGUCCUCUCUCUCCCUUGCAUGUCUGCGUUUCUGUCUGACAUGCUGGCUGCUGGCAAGACAUGACUUGGAGCAGCCCUCGGAGGUCUUUGAGGAGCAAGGGCUUUGAUCACCGCGUAGCUGAACGGCUCUUUAUUGAAACCAACUGUCCUUGCCCUGUUCCUCACAACUGUCUACCCAUAAUUCUGUCCCGCUCUGGGCGACCACGAGGCACGGGAGAACAUGGAUAUUUUUUCUUCCGUUAUCAAUAAGCUCAAAGCUUACUAUUUCUCGUUAUCUCGGAAUGUAAGCGUAUAUAAGCUCAGCUGUGGCAGCUGAUUAAAGAGCAAUCCCUUCUAAAGGUGUUUUCCUUAAAGAAAUCCUCUGAUCCCAGGGCUCAAAGGUUAUCAGGAACAAUAAACACUUUCACCUUUAGCCUCAUUUAGACAAUGACAGAUGAGCCAAUUUGACACUCCUUCCUGCGCUAGAGGAGAUUUGCUCCUCUAAUUAUUUUAUCAUUCUUAUUUUUGGUCAGAGCGAAGGAAUGCCUGGACUCGCGCUGCUUUCGGCAGAGUCGUGGUCUCCUGAUUUCGACUCCAUUGUUCGCUCCGGUGUCUCGGAGUUUCGCAUGUGGAAACCUGAGGAGAAAGUCAGAGCAGUGACAGAGCUGGUUUGACCUCUUCUAGCCUAAGUCUCCUUUUUGCUGUUCCUGGACAUAAGCGUUCCCCUAGAAAUUUCUUGGAUAUUUUUAAAAUUCAAUGUCUGUAUAAACCUUGGGAAAGAUUGAUGAAAAGUCAGGUUAUUUGAUGAAUAUGCUUCAAAGCAGUCACAUUACCCACAAAUCUGGAACAUCCUUUCAACCUGGGUCAAACAGGACUAAAGCAGAGAACUGGAACAGUAGAUGGAGGAUUUUAGAGUCCGAUUUUCCAUGGGAUCGCUGCAGGCAGGAAUGCAUUUUGUUGCAGUCUGGGUCACCUGAAAGCUUGGGUGAUAAUAUGCUAUUUUUUGCCCAAGCAAUGGUAUAUCACUUCAUCGUUUGAAGCAGUGGGUUUUGUAGCAUCAGUUCUGGUAUGUUCAGUUACUUGCCCCUGUACAGUGAGAGAUUUAAACUCUUGCACAAUCCGUAGCGUUAUUUAAGCAAUGUUUGAUUAAAAAAAAACCCUGAGAAGCCUGUCAUUUAUACUAGUAGAUUCCAGCAUUUAUGAUUUUGGUUACAACAUUAUCAUGAGAAUAAUUGGGUUGUUACACUAACGCAGAAAGUCUGUUCCACAAACAUAAGUGAGCACUGUAUCUUUAAAAGACCUCAGUGCAGGAAAACACCUCACUGCAGCGCGGCACUUCAGCCUGUGCUUGAGGAGAAAGAGGGAAGCAAAGAGCCUUCCUUCUUGCUCCCUAGUGCUGCUUUUGUGGGCCCUUCCAAGCCCCGCUACACAUUUUUUCCAGCGGAGGCUCCUGGUCUGUAGCAGCCCCCAGGAGCUGGUGCCGAGGUUGCCCCGCGGUGCGGCACUGGGCAGGCUGCCUUUCCGGAGCACGAGCCUUGCACGCGUGGGGCUUCUCCGCUUCGCUGACCGUGAGGACAGCAGUCUGCAACCGAUACUUAAGAGUCUGAGUUUAGGUAUCAACAGCACCUGAGUCCCUGAGCCUUUUUUUUUUUUUAAAAAAAUUAGUGUCAAGGAAUAAACCCAUUGCUCAUAAAAAUGGAGGUCGGACUGAGUAUGUUGAUGUGUUGUUAUGCCUUUGUGUAUGUGUGUAUACACACACGUAUAUAUGAAAGGUUACACGAUUGCUCGGGAGGCUAAUACAGUAAGUUAAAGGGACUCUCAUGUCCUGUUUUCCACAGCUGCAAAAGCCGGUGAAGCAGUAGGAUUAGAGGUCAUACACAUUUAGACUCUGUCACAUGGAAGAGCUUCAGAGCAGAAUACAAGGAAAGCACCAAGCCUCGGCGAAAGAUGCACAAGGCAGUUAUUGAUGGCUGAGCAGAGUCCUCAGCACUCAGAGAUACACUGAAAACAUCGUCUGUCCACCAGCAAGACUGUACACUUCUAAAAUAAAAUCACCCUGGAAAACUAGCAUUUUCAUUUCAAUUACAAUUGUUCUAUGAGACACAGAUGUGAAUUGUUAAAAUGUUUAUAAUGUGGUUUAACAGUAAAAAAAACAAAUAUUAAUGAAAUGUUUCACUGAUGGGAUUUGAUUGGCAUGCUGUAUUAAUUACAGGCCUUUCACCUCUGAAACUGCUGUUCUAAUCCUGCCAGUGCCCAGGGAAAACAAUUUAAAAUUCAUUUAUAUAUUUUAAAGUGAUAUAGGCAUCUUUAAAAAGAGUCUGAAUUACAGUGUUGGUUCCAGUAUGGUAAGGUAUUUUAAAAGGGAUCAUCUGCCAACACGCACAUUCUGGGCACCAUCCUGCAUUCCCAGUACACCUAGAAUAUCUGCAGGGACUACUGUGCACAAAUAACAUGUCAGGUCCCUAGUUUACAGUGAAAAUUAAAAUGAUAACCAAAUUUCUCUAGCCUUACUCACCAAAGACCUGUAGAUUGUUCUCUGUUUACCAGCAGGUGGAGACAAGAACUCUGCAGUCCUUACUGCAUUUAAAAAAAAAAAAAAAAAAAAAAAAUCAGUGAAGUGCAAUUCAUUCCAGUAUCACUAAGCUCAGGUGUUCCAAAUCCAUAGCUUAGCUUAAAAAAAAUAUCACAAGGGUGGUUUAAAGCCAUGUGAUUCUAAACCAGCCUUUAUUUUUAAUUUCUGGCUGCUGAAUUAGAGGGGCUUUUUGUUUUUGAACCAGAAGGCUCAAGCGCCUUCCCAAACUCAGAAGCAAAGCACUGAUUUGAGAUGCACGUGCGAGCCAGGGAGAAGCCCAGCUCUCCUCAGCUGAGCAUCCCGCACGGAGCUGGCACUGCCGAGGAGGAGACGGACAGACAGACAGACACCUCCUGAGGACAGAGCCAGAGCAAGCGUGACCACUUGCACCCACAGAGCAGGCUCCGAGGACGCAAGCCGGGACGCUCCUGCCCUCGGCAGACGCCCUGCGCCCAGCCAGCCCCAGCACCUCGCGCGCAGGGGACACCAGGUCCUGCUCCCUCCUGCCCCCCUAAGAGCACCCACUGCCCAGCUCCCACCGCUGCAGAGCACAGGAGAGGACAGCCGAGGGAGGCUGCGCUUUAACCCCCCCCGUAAGUGGGAAACAUGGAACAGAAAGAGUGAGCCACUUACCUAGAGCACAGGGACCCUAGGUGAAAAGCAGGCACUUCUGGCUCUCUUUAGCCCCUUAGCUCCCCCCCAGCUGACAUUAAGGUAGCUUACCUAAAAUAUAGCAGCAGCAUGAACAAGCACCAUUAACUGACAAGAGGAAAAAGACAGUAAAAAACAGCCUUAACUCCUGCAGCAGCCCAGCCCUCUCCCCCGGGCUGGUUCUUCUAUAACGGAGGCAGCACAGGUGACACCGAGGGAGCGGGUGGCCCGUGAUUAGAGCUGCCUGCGGAGAAAGCCAAGGUGGGACCUGAAGUGAUUGGCACAACCUGUACGUUGAUUUAGUUAAAGGAAAAUAACCUAAAAUAGCAGAUAAUAAGGAAGUAAAUGUUUUUCUGUUACAGACACACUAACAUUUAAAACACCAUAACAUAUUAAGUAACUUAGCCCUUGUGUUAAAAUGUAAGUGAUAAGAACAAAAAACAUAACAGGAUAAUAUUUUGAACCAUAAAACUUACUUUAGUCUAUUCUACAUGGUCUAUGGCAGGGCAUUUUAUGUGAUUUGGAUGCAUCUCCACCAGUACAUUAAAGUUUAUUGGCCUUGAAAUAAUGGAUGCAUCACUGAUGAUAGGAGACUUGGUGUUAUACUGUCCAUGCCUAUUUUAUUUGAUCUCUGUCUUAAAUACACUUCAGACCUUUGGACUUCAUACAGAGUAGGACUUUAGCCUUUUCCUGUAAUUAUUUGGUAUCUUGUUAACAUUUUAUGAGCAUGUCUGUUUAAAUAAACUUAUUUGAUGUGCAUUUAUUUUGGCUGUAGCCU